GUAUCAGAAGUGCGAAUGCUGACAUGAGUAACGAUAAUGCGGGUGAAAAACCCGCACGCCGGAAGACCAAGGGUUCCUAUCCCAUGUUAAUCAGGGUAGGGUAAGUCGACCCCUAAGGCGAGGCCGAAAGGCGUAGUCGAUGGGAAACGGAUUAAUAUUUCCGUACUUGGUAUAAUUGCGAUGGGGGGACGGAGCAGGCUAAGCAAGCAUGGCGUUGGUAGUCCAUGUGAAAGUGAGUAGGCUAGCGACUUAGGUAAAUCCGGGUUGCUGUUAGGCUGAGACACGAGACGAGUCACUAAGGUGAUGAAGUUGCUGAUGCCAUACUUCCAGGAAAAGCCUCUAAGCUUCAGAUUAUACCGAAUCGUACCCCAAACCGACACAGGUGGUCAGGUAGAGAAUACUAAGGCGCUUGAGAGAACUCGGGUGAAGGAACUAGGCAAAAUCGUACCGUAACUUCGGGAGAAGGUACGCUCCUAUCUGUGAUGAGACUUGCUCUCUAAGCGGACGGGAGCCGCAGUGACCAGGUGGCUGGGACUGUUUAUUAAAAACACAGCACUGUGCAAAAUCGCAAGAUGACGUAUACGGUGUGACACCUGCCCGGUGCCGGAAGGUUAAUUGAUGGGGUUAGUUUUCGGACGAAGCUCUUGAUCGAAGCCCCGGUAAACGGCGGCCGUAACUAUAACGGUCCUAAGGUAGCGAAAUUCCUUGUCGGGUAAGUUCCGACCUGCACGAAUGGUGUAACCAUGGCCACGCUGUCUCCACCCGAGACUCAGUGAAAUUGAAAUCGCAGUGAAGAUGCUGUGUACCCGCGGCUAGACGGAAAGACCCCGUGAACCUUUACUACAGCUUGGCACUGAACAUUGAACCUACAUGUGUAGGAUAGGUGGGAGACUUAGAAGCAGAGACGCUAGUUUUUGUGGAGUCGUCCUUGAAAUACCACCCUUGUAGUUUUGAUGUUCUAACGUUGGCCCCUGAAUCGGGGUUACGGACAGUGCCUGGUGGGUAGUUUGACUGGGGCGGUCUCCUCCCAAAGAGUAACGGAGGAGCACGAAGGUUGGCUAAGUACGGUCGGACAUCGUACGGUUAGUGUAAUGGUAGAAGCCAGCUUAACUGCGAGACAGACACGUCGAGCAGGUACGAAAGUAGGUCAUAGUGAUCCGGUGGUUCUGAAUGGAAGGGCCAUCGCUCAACGGAUAAAAGGUACUCCGGGGAUAACAGGCUGAUACCGCCCAAGAGUUCAUAUCGACGGCGGUGUUUGGCACCUCGAUGUCGGCUCAUCACAUCCUGGGGCUGAAGUCGGUCCCAAGGGUAUGGCUGUUCGCCAUUUAAAGUGGUACGCGAGCUGGGUUUAGAACGUCGUGAGACAGUUCGGUCCCUAUCUGCCGUGGGCGUUUGAGAAUUGAGAGGGGUUGCUCCUAGUACGAGAGGACCGGAGUGAACGAACCGCUGGUGUUCGGGUUGUCAUGCCAAUGGCAUUGCCCGGUAGCUACGUUCGGAACUGAUAAGCGCUGAAAGCAUCUAAGCGCGAAGCAGGCCUCGAGAUGAGUUCUCACUAGACUUUU
rnacentral:rRNA from 1 species